CAUCAUAUUCCUUGUAAGAAGCAAAUAUAGUACCAGACUGGCAUUAAAAGUUGAGCUCCAGAUAAGGACGUGACGCACGCUGCAGUUAUCUGACUUCAAGACAGAGCCGUGCUCCCUCCUCGUCUCCAAUCGGCUUCCUACAUUUUAUUUCCUCUUUAAUGUGUAGUUGGUCUUCACAAGCAGUUCAAUUGCUAUCUUUUCCGAGUUUGUUUUCUCCCUCGUCCAGUUCCGUUUCAAAACCCUAACGCUAGCGUAACUCUUCCGUACGAAUGGCGAACUCUUCCGUACCAAUGGCGAUAGUCGAUUCGUCUAAUGCCCAAGAUGAUCCAAACAAGGAUUUCAGGAGCUCUUAUUUUGGUUUACCAGCACUGGAUGUUUCUGCAGCAUUCCCCCAAGCAACUCCGGCUUCCCUCUUUCCUCCAUGCAAUUCAGACUACUACCAUUUUAAUGAUUUAUUAACUCCUGAGGAGCAGGAACUCAGGGUAAAAGUAAGAGAAUGCAUGGAAAAAGAGAUAGCACCAAUAAUGGCACAGUUCUGGGAGAAGGCAGAGUUUCCAUUUCAUGUUAUUCCAAAGCUAAGUGCGCUGCGUAUUGCUGGUGGUACUAUCAAGGGCUACGGUUGUCCUGGUCUUUCCAUUACUGGAACUGCUAUUGCUUCCGCAGAAAUUGCAAGAGUUGAUGCGAGUUGCUCCACUUUCAUUUUGGUCCAUUCUUCUCUGGCAAUGCUAACAAUUGCACUGUGUGGAUCAGAGACACAAAAGCAGAAAUAUUUACCAUCAUUGGCUGAACUAAACACUGUAGCUUGUUGGGGUUUGACUGAGCCUGACUAUGGAAGUGAUGCAAGUGCAUUAAGAACAACAGCAACAAAGGUGGCAGGUGGUUGGAUUCUUGAAGGCCAAAAACGAUGGAUAGGAAACAGUACUUUUGCAGAUGUGUUGGUUAUUUUUGCAAGGAACACUAUUACAAAUCAAAUAAAUGGAUAUAUAGUGAAGAAGGACGCCCCAGGACUAAGGGCUACUAAAAUAGAAAACAAAAUUGGCUUGCGGAUUGUUCAAAAUGGAGAUAUUCUCUUAAAGAAAGUCUUUGUCCCCGAUGAGGACAGAUUACCCGGUGUCAAUUCUUUUCGGGAUACAAGCAAGGUGCUGGCUGUUUCACGUGUUAUGGUUGCCUGGCAACCCAUUGGCAUUUCUAUGGGCGUUUACGAUAUGUGCCACAGGUAUCUAAAUGAGAGAAAACAGUUUGGAGCACCAUUGGCAGCUUUCCAAAUAAACCAACAGAAACUUGUCCGCAUGCUGGGUGAUGUUCAGGGCAUGAUUCUUGUGGGUUGGCGUCUUUGCAAGUUGUAUGAGAAAGGUAAAAUGACUCCUGGGCAUGCAAGCUUGGGAAAGUCCUGGAUUUCCUUGAGAGCGAGGGAGACUGUUGCUCUUGGGCGGGAGUUACUUGGUGGCAACGGAAUCUUGUCCGACUUUCUUGUUGCAAAGGCAUUCUGCGAUUUGGAGCCUAUCUAUACGUAUGAAGGCACCUACGACAUCAACAGCUUGGUCACUGGCAGGGAAGUAACUGGCGUUGCCAGCAUCAAACCUGCUGCAUUGAACCAAAGGAGCCGCCUUUAACUGCAUAAAUUCUGUUUGUGGACUUAUACCUGGGAAUUUGUUGGCGGGACAAAUCCCUUGGUAGAUGGUCGGUGAAAUUCUAUGCAUAGAGGAGCAGCAAAUCACUCGAAGCUUGAAGCUUGAGCAGGGUCGCUCAAAAGUCACGCCAGGGAUGAAUAGAAAACCGGGUAUUGCUUUUCAUGUUAAUUGACUAAUAAAAUGAGUAUAAAGAUCAUCCUAAGUCAGGGACGAGGAUAAUUAUGUUUUAGCGAUUGUAGAACUCACAACAGUAAUGAUUAGUGGAGCAUUGGAUGGCA